rnacentral:rRNA from 1 species
CCUACGGGAGGCAGCAGUGAGGAAUAUUGGUCAAUGGCCGCAGGGCUGAACCAGCCAAGUCGCGUGAGGGAUGACGGUCCUAUGGAUUGUAAACCUCUUUUGUCAGGGAGCAAAGGGCGCCACGUGUGGCGCUUUGCGAGUACCUGAAGAAAAAGCAUCGGCUAACUCCGUGCCAGCAGCCGCGGUAAUACGGAGGAUGCGAGCGUUAUCCGGAGUUAUGGGGGUUAAGGGGUGCGCAGGCGGAAUGUCAAGUCGGCGGUAAAAUUUCGGGGCGCAACCCCGUCGUGCCGUUGAAACUGGCGGUCUUGAGUGAGCGAGAGGUAUGGGGAAUGCGUGGUGGAGCGGUGAAAUGCAUAGAUAUGACGCAGAACGCCGAUGGCGAGGGCAGCAUACGGGCGCUCAACUGACGCGCAGGCACGAAAGCGUGGGUAGCGAACAGGAUGAGAUACCCCUGUAGUC